UACGUAGGUGGCAAGCGUUGUCCGGAAUCAUUGGGCGUAAAGCGCGCGUAGGCGGCCCGAUAAGUCCGCUGUAAAAGUCAACGGCUCAACUGUUUGAAAGCCGGUGGAUACUGUCGGGCUAGAGUACGGAAGAGGCAAGUGGAAUUCCUGGUGUAGCGGUGGAAUGCGCAGAUAUCAGGAGGAACACCUAUAGCGAAGGCAGCUUGCUGGGACGUUACUGACGCUAAGGCGCGAAAGCGUGGGGAGCGAACAGG
rnacentral:rRNA from 1 species